rnacentral:rRNA from 1 species
CCUACGGGUGGCAGCAGUGGGGAAUAUUGGACAAUGGGCGAAAGCCUGAUCCAGCCAUGCCGCGUGUGUGAAGAAGGCCUUCGGGUUGUAAAGCACUUUCAGUGGGGAAGAAAGCCUUGGGGCUAAUACCCUCGAGGAAGGACAUCACCCACAGAAGAAGCACCGGCUAACUCCGUGCCAGCAGCCGCGGUAAUACGGAGGGUGCGAGCGUUAAUCGGAAUUACUGGGCGUAAAGCGCGCGUAGGCGGUCUGAUAAGCCGGUUGUGAAAGCCCCGGGCUCAACCUGGGAACGGCAUCCGGAACUGUCAGGCUAGAGUGAAGGAGAGGAAGGUAGAAUUCCCGGAGUAGCGGUGAAAUGCGUAGAGAUCGGAAGGAAUACCAGUGGCGAAGGCGGCCUUCUGGACUGACACUGACGCUGAGGUGCGAAAGCGUGGGUAGCAAACAGGAUUAGAUACCCUUGUAGUC